GGCGUCAUGGCGGAGUGGUUAUCGCGAUAGACUAGAAAUCUAUUUCCUUCGGGAGCGCCAGUUCGAAUCUGGUUGACGUCG